rnacentral:tRNA from 1 species
AAGACGCUAGUCCAAUUAAGACAACUGAUUUCGGCUUAGUAAAUCCUGGUUCAACUCCAUGGCGCCUUU